GAGCGCAGGCGGACCGGCAAGUUGGAAGUGAAAACUAUGGGCUCAACCCAUAAAUUGCUUUCAAAACUGCUGGCCUUGAGUAGUGCAGAGGUAGGUGGAAUUCCCGGUGUAGCGGUGGAAUGCGUAGAUAUCGGGAGGAACACCAGUGGCGAAGGCGACCUACUGGGCACCAACUGACGCUGAGGCUCGAAAGCAUGGGUAGCAAACA
rnacentral:rRNA from 1 species